CCUCGGGCCGCUUGACCACGUGGUCGUAGCAGAUGUACCUGCCGCCGGCGGUGUUGUCGCCCAUCGCCUCGUACGCGUGGACGUGCGCCUCGGCCACCGUCUCCACGUUUGCCGUGGCGAGCAGGCCGUCGGCGAGCAUGGCUCGAGCCCCUGCUGCCGAAUAUGCAGGAGGAGGAGGAGGAGGAGGUCAGAGGCUCAGAGCGAUGAGCAACGCGUGUUAGUGCGUCUCAUGGACGGUAUGUACACGCACGCAUCCGGGCGGCAGGGCACGGCACGGACCUUUGAGAUACGCGAUGGACGCGGUGGAGUUGCGGCGGCGGAACCCCGGACCAGUGACAAGCGCGGGGCAGAUGGUGACCAGCUUCAGGUCUCGUCCCCGCGCCGCCCUCCACGCAGCCUUCUCUGCCGCCGUUUUGCCAAGUGCGAACCACAGCUGGAAAAACGACGCAUCACAAAGCUCUCGUCGCUCCAGCA
rnacentral:misc_RNA from 1 species